CCUGCCGGCGACCGGCGCACGGGUGAGUAACACGUAUGCGACCUGCCCCCCGCAGGGGGAUAACCGGGAGAAAUCCCGACUAAUACCGCGUAACGCCGCGGACCUGCAUGGGUCUGCGGCCAAAGGAAGCGAUUCCGGCGGGGGAUGGGCAUGCGGCGCAUUAGCUAGUCGGCGGGGUAACGGCCCACCGAGGCGACGAUGCGUAGGGGUUCUGAGAGGAAGGUCCCCCACACUGGUACUGAGACACGGACCGGACUCCUACGGGAGGCAGCAG
rnacentral:rRNA from 1 species